GCCAGGGUGGCGAAAUGGUAGACGCGCAUGGUUUAGGACCAUGUCCUGAAAGGGAUGGAGGUUCGAGUCCUCUCCCUGGCA
rnacentral:tRNA from 1 species